UUUGGAGAUCAUAGCUUCAGUCAGUUCUUGCUCUUCUUUUUUCUUUCUCUUAGAUGCAGUAGGUUUGCAGUCAACAGGUUGUUGAAAGGAUGAUGGUGCUUUUUGGAUUGAGACCUGCUUUAUAUAAUCCAGGGCUAUGACACUGGCCUGGGAGGAACAGGGAAGUGCCAGUACCAGAGGUGUAUCCGUAACAAAACCGUAUUAAAUUAUAUUUAAAUUUCCACGUUGACCACCGUCAUCAUCGUCAUGACCAGCAUCACAAUCCUCAGAAGAGGAGGAGGAAGGAGUGUUACCUUAUUAUCUAAGGUAAAGAGCAGUGAUGUCACCUCUCAGACUGUAGGGGAUUUUCAUGAACUCCUCCUACACACGGGGAGGCCUUAUUUAUGACAAACUUUCAUCCCUGCUUCAGAACAACUCAACAGUUCAUCUGUCUGAGCGUCUUCACCAGUGAAACUGCAGCUUGACAACAAAGACAGGAUGGCAACAUCAGAUGGGUUUCCAGCCAGUUUCUAUGGUGAACCAGGAGUGUUAGGCAUGUUAUCCAAUGGGAUAAGUGCAUUCCUUGUACUGCUACAGAACUUCAAUACAGCACACACUGGCAAUGCACCAGUCGGGGUGGAAAACAUACUUGCAGGUGUUCAUCUCAUUUUGAUUGGUGGUAUAUGCCAACUGUUGGCUGGACUGAUUUCCUUUCGAAGAUAUGAUCAUCUGAGUGGCACUGCGUUCAUUGGCUAUGCUGCUCUUUGGGGCAGUUAUGGUGCCACCCGAAUCUACUUCGGUGCCUUAGCUGAAACUCCUGCAACAGCAUCUAUGCCACAUCAGAUGAUGAACAAUUUGUCCCUGUCCACUAACAUGAUGAGCAACAUGUCUCUGAAUGCCACCACAGAGAUUCCAGUUAGCCAUCUCUUGCUGUCCA